UUGAACGCUGGCGGCAUGCCUUACACAUGCAAGUCGAACGGUAACAGGUCUUCGGAUGCUGACGAGUGGCGAACGGGUGAGUAAUACAUCGGAACGUGCCCGAUCGUGGGGGAUAACGAAGCGAAAGCUUUGCUAAUACCGCAUACGAUCUACGGAUGAAAGCAGGGGACCGCAAGGCCUUGCGCGAACGGAGCGGCCGAUGGCAGAUUAGGUAGUUGGUGGGAUAAAAGCUUACCAAGCCGACGAUCUGUAGCUGGUCUGAGAGGACGACCAGCCACACUGGGACUGAGACACGGCCCAGACUCCUACGGGAGGCAGCAGUGGGGAAUUUUGGACAAUGGGCGAAAGCCUGAUCCAGUCAUGCCGCGUGCAGGAUGAAGGCCUUCGGGUUGUAAACUGCUUUUGUACGGAACGAAAAGACUCUGGUUAAUACCUGGGGUCCAUGACGGUACCGUAAGAAUAAGCACCGGCUAACUACGUG
rnacentral:rRNA from 1 species